ACUUACCUAGCUAUAUGGAAAAACAUUCAUAUGUUUACAUCAUAUGUCGGAAAAAUUGUGUUCAGAUAAAUGAGUUACUUCAAUCUUCAGAAAAGGCGAUGGAGUUUAUAUAAACAAUACUGGCAUUCUAACCCCGCACUACAUAAAAGGGACAUUGGUGGACUUCUUUGACCGAAAAAAGCUUUAGAUUUGACUAACGUGAAGCAAAAUUAGCAGGCCCAGCUUGGAAGUAAGAUUUUUUAGAGUGACAGAGUACCAGGGUAAUUUAUGAGACUUGGAGGGUAAAGCAGCCAGUUGCUCAGAGAAGACUUCAGACAUAAUGCAAAGAAAGGUUUCAUAAGAGGCAUUAACAUCUUUUGAAUUGAAGAUAUCACACCAAUUUACGUUAUUUAUAGCCAGGUUUAUGACGUCAUAAUUUGCAUCCCGAAAAUUGUAGGAAAUCCUAUUAUUUUGUAUUAAGUGGAGCCUAUCAAAAAACUCUAAAGAAACAAUAAGCGGAUUAUGAUGCAUAUCAGAAUAACAGAUCGGAGUCUUACAUUCAGAGAGAUUAGAUAUCAAAUUUUCGUCUACAAACACUAGAUCUAAUAAUUUAGAUAACUUAUGGAAUAUGCAAUUAAUUUGCGUAAGAUUAAGGCUAAAAAGACUAUCAAUAAAGUUUAUUUCAUGCGAACGAGUAACGUUGGUUGGGGUAAGGCGCCCCGAGUUUUGAAA